rnacentral:rRNA from 1 species
CACGUAGUUAGCCGUGGCUUCCUCCUCAGGUACCGUCAUUAUCGUCCCUGAAGACAGAGCUUUACAACCCGAAGGCCGUCAUCACUCACGCGGCGUUGUUGCAUCAGGGUUUCCCCCAUUGUGCAAUAUUCCCCACUGCUGCCUCCCGUAGGAGUCUGGGCCGUGUCUCAGUCCCAAUGUGGCCGAUCACCCUCUCAGGUCGGCUACGCAUCGUCGCCUUGGUGAGCCCGUUACCUCACCAACUAGCUAAUGCGCCGCGGGCCCAUCUCAUAGCGGAUUGCUCCUUUAAUUGCUACUUCAUGCGAAGCUACAAUCUUAUGCGGUAUUAAUCUCCCUUCGGAAGGCUAUUCCCCUCUAUGAGGCAGGUUGCCCACGUGUUACUCACCCGUCCGCCGCUAGCUUUGUUCCGAAGAACUCCACUCGCUCGACUUGCAUGUGUUAGGCACGCCGCCAGCGUUCGUCCUGACGCCACGGACGUACUAAACGUACCUCUGACGUACCG